CCCCCAACUCAGUAAGCAGCACCACUGUCUGCCCACAAGUGCCAGCUGGGAAUCUGAACUCAACCCGAUUUCCCUCCCACCUCCCUCGGCCCCCAGACCCUGCCCAUCCAUCUCCCAAACCUCUGUUACCACCACAUGCCCACGAGACCACCAAGAGCUUCGGCCAUUCUUGAGGCCCUGGCCACAGGGAUUUUUUUCUCAAUCCCAUUCCUGUCUCUGCUAAAAGCCUCACAGCAGCUGCAGGAUAACGUGCACAUUCCUGGCAAGGGCUCAUGAGGCCCUGCCCCGGUGGGCACCCACUCUCAACCCCAUGCUCCACUCUGAGCCCCGGCCCCAUGUCUUCUGUUGCUGGCCUCCUAUCCAAGAGGGUGAGUCCCCCAGGACCGUGGCUGUGCCUGAGUCCUCUCUAGAUCCAAAGGCUCACCAGGGCUCUGCAGCUAUUUGGCUAGUUCAUGCCUAAUGAACGAGUGAAUGGGCCUGGAGGAUUAUGGUGGGGAAAUGCCGCCUGGGACAACUAAGGGCAGGGGUGGGGUUCCCUUGUGGGGGCAGGACCAACUCCCUACCCUGGACUUUGUUGGGGGUGGAGCACCAGGGAGAGCCACAGCUGCCUCUUGAAUAAAGCUCCGUGGCAGGGAACGUGGUAUUAUUGCACUCAUUGCACAGGGGAGGAAACUGAACCAGAGACGCAAAGUGACUUGUGGAGGUCACAUAGUGAAUUAGGGCCACAAGUGGGGCCAGGGAGCAGCCUGUCUCUGGCCAAUGUCCUAGUUCCCCCCUGGGUAAGUCCCCUGCCCUCAUCACCUGUGCCCCUCCCCCCAUAUGCCACUGCAACUGGGAACCUGCUGGGAGCUGGAGGAAGGAUGGGCAGAGGGGCCACCUGGCAGGCGCCCUGGCAGCCGGGGUGAUCUGUCUUCUCAGGAGAUGUCAGGACCUGGGCAGUCUCCUUCCUCUUUGGUCCUGGGGCCUGGGGUGGUGGCCCUUGGGCAGACCUACAGAGGCCUGGCUCAUAGGUAAGGGGCUGCCGCACCUCCGCCCUAUUCAACAUACACUCUCUGUGCACUCUGUCUGAGCCAGACCCUGGGCCAGAUGCGAGGUUCAAAGAGCAAGGCCAUUCCCCCACCUCCAGGGGCUCCGCUCAGACGGGCAGGCACCGUCCCACCGUCACUAGGACAGAGAAUGUGGAGAGGCCGGGAAGUGCGCCACCGGGAGCCUGCGCAGGAAACGGAGGGGCGCUGCGGGGGAAGAGCGCUGGCAUCCAGCCACCCAUCCCAGAGAAGCUGCCUGGCUGGCUGGCAGGGGCGCGAAACAGGAACCAGCCGCGGUCUCCAGCCCCGCCCGCCGGGUGCCGUUUUCCACCCUGGCCACAAGGCGGCGGGCUGCCGCUGCAGGAGCCAGAGUGAAGGCGGCGCAGACCCAGGGAAGCCAAACGAGGAUGACCCAGUCUGGGUGGACCCCCUGCUGCUGCCAAGCGCUUCGAAGCCUUAAUUCAUUUAAGGCUCACAACCCUAAUCCUUAGAUUAACACAACUGGAUUCUGAAGAGGGGAAAAAACAACCUCACUUAACACGUCUUUCUGAAACAAACCCAUCAGGAGUUCUUUUAAAAAAAAAAAAAAAAAAAAAA
rnacentral:lncRNA from 1 species